rnacentral:lncRNA from 1 species
GGCUCCUCCCGCCCAUCCCGGCCCAUCCCGGCCUAUCCCGGGGCUCCUCCCGCCCAUCCCGGCCUAUCCCGGCCCAUCCCGGGCCCGUCCCGCCCAUCCCGGCCUACCCCAGCGGCCCAGCCCGGCCUGUCCCGGGGCCCGUCCCGGCCUGCCCCGGCCGCUGCCCGGCGCUCGCAUGGCCCUGCCCGUCGUACACAGGUGCCUCCAACUCACUGAUGAAAAUGAGCAGUUAGUCAAGAAGGUGAAAAAACUACACAUAAAAAAUAAGGAUCUAGAAAGGAAUCUGGGUCAGAUCCAAGAACAACUGUAUCUGCAGCAGUUAAUGCAUGUCUGUGGCACAAGCAGAGAUGUUCAGGUUCAAACAGAAACACAUUUAUGGCAUAAGGGUGGCGACAGCAAGGAUCUGGUUCUAGAGAGUGACAGUGUCAGACUACUUCAGAUGUAUAAUGAGCUACAGAAACGUUAUGUGAAAGAAACCAAAACAAACAAGGAGCAAAGUGAAGCAAUUAAAAAUCUCACUAUUAAAAUUAAUGAACUAGAGCAUAGUCUUCAAGAGCAGAGGCAAAAAAUUAAGCAACUGGAAUGUAAAAAGGUUUCUUGGAAAACUAGUGCUGCUUCUGGAAAACGAAGUCAAACCCCAGAGGGAGGCGUAACUUCUCACAGGGACAUUUCUGCAGAGAAGGAAGCCUGUUGCAGUAGAUAUUUAGAGCUAUUGUUGAAGAAGAUUAAAAAGCUGAAGAAAGAAAAUGGAAAGUUAUCUGCAGAAAAGAGAGCACUAAAAAAUGAAUUAGCUGGAUUAGACAAGGAUUUUUUUGAAGAGGUAGAAGAUCUAAAACAUGCUGUACAGGAAUCUGUGAAACUGAACAAUGAGUAUGAAAAGUGCUUGAAACAAAUAAGUGAAAUAUAUGGACUUCCUUUUACAGCACAUUUGUAACUACUGGGUAAUUUAAUGCCAGGUGGAGUUUCUACAUAUUUUUUAUAAUUACGGCAACAUUUAAACCUCCCAUUGCUUAAGUGGUACCGUAGUUUGAUAAUAUAGAUUCAGUAAUGUGAUCUCAAUAUGACAAGUUCUUGGAAAUGUUGUCUUUUGUGACCUUGAUUUUUUUUGUUUGUUUAUAUAUUUUUAAAUAAACUGUGAUCUCCAUAACUUCA